UCUGUGUAGACAGCAUUGGGGAGAUUCGAGCCAGCUCUGGAAGGAUAGCUGCAGUUGGAAUGGACAGCUCCCAAGCACACUGAUAGAAUCCCAUUCGAGGGCAGCCUUCAGGACCACCUCUGGGCUUCCUUUCAGCAGGGCUUUCUCUGAAGCCAGGAGUGACAUGAUCCAUUGCAGAGAAGCCCAGAAAUAUGGAGGAGCCACAUUUGCCAAGAGUUCUGCAGUUGAAACAGAAAAGCUUUAUCUGAUUUCUGAAUUCCAAGAUCAUACUGCACAGUGAGACUUCUGGGAGACUUAAAAGGGUGACUUCUUAAACAUGAUAUGAAUAGCAGCUGAAAAAAAUUGAUGAUAGUUGGAUGUGGUCAAUGUGAAGCGUUAACUAUGAAAGGAAGGCAGAAGGAAAAACUUACGACAAUUCAGUAUGGACUUUGUUUCUGGAUAGGGCCGGAGAAUCUGCAUUUUAACAACUGCCAGGCACCAAGAAUGCCGCUGACCUUCGAACCACACUGGGAGUGAAGCGUCUAGACCCAAGUUCUCAUUUUCAACUAACCGUAAAUAAAACUAUAAAACUAUCAUAAAAGAUGUUUUUUUUUUUAUACUUCUUUCAUUUUUGUGGAUUCUUCAUACUUUUUCUCUCUCUUUUUUUUAGCCAGAGAAAAUGCUAAAUGUUAUGCCUUUCAUUAAUGGAAGAAAACUGUAUUAUUAGGCUGUGAGAAAGUUCUGGAAAAGCACAUGUGGUUUAUUCCAGGAACUGGUCAUUAGAUUGCUCAUUCUUUCAUAUUUCUGGAAGGACCAGAAGCGUCAUUAGAAAAAUCACAUGAUCAGACUUGGUGAACAGGCCAUCCCAGGAGCCAAGUCCUAAAACGUGUCUGUUACUAAGCAUGAAAACCCUGUUCACAGUGAUGUUUUUCAUAACACGGAACCUGGUGAGGGAAGAGCAUGUUGAAAUGAUUUCAGCAUCUGCCUAAAAGGGCUCAAACAGUCCUUUUAAAAUGAAAAUCCCAGAUUAAUUGCGGGGGAUUUUUGUUGUCGUAUAUUUUGAGCCUUAGAAUGGCACGACCCUGAUGAAGAAGGGGGGUGGCGCUUGUCCACGAGGACAGCACUUGUUUUUCCCAGUGUCCUGGCCCAAUGCUCAUCACCUGGCCAACGAGGGGUGGGUUUCUCGCCUGCAGCAGAUGAAAAACACCCUGGGAUUAAAUCAGCCCGGUGUGGGAAGCAUCCUGUCUGCUGGUGACCCCCAAGGCUGCUGAGCUGAGAUCCCGGCUGCCAAAGAUGUGUUGACAAGAGUGCGUGUCUGCUUCUUCUCCCAGUGUCUGAUGUGGCUUCGGUGUCAGACGCAGGGCAGACAGGCAGGGGGGGAAGCUGGCACGGGGGAACAGGGGACGGGAAAAACUGCUAGACAACUUCUCUGGCAGAAGCUUAGCUGUUAAAACUUUUGCUGUCGGAGGGAAUUUUUAAGAAAUGGAGCCGGCGAAAUGAUGAAUUGGAAACGUGUUUCCUUUGAGAGAAUUGAACGCCGUCUCCUUAGAGACUCUUGAGACUGGGAUUCCGAUGGUUUGAGGUCCCCCCUUCUCACUGUGUCCUGAGACCUGACUAGGAAUGACCUGUCAUUGCUCGGAACACACAGAAGCCCAUGCAGUAGGGGAAAAUGUGCAAAAGGAGCAGUUAAACAGUCAUCUCCAAGGCUAGACGAUAGUGUUGCAUCAAUAAUCGCUUCCUGAUUUUGAUAAGGGCACUCAGAGAUAUCCUUCUUAGGAAAUGCACGCUUAGUAAAGAAGCAUCUUG